rnacentral:misc_RNA from 1 species
GCUGCGACACCGGAGCUCAGCAGCUGACACAUACAUAGACUACAAAUCCACAGGCAUGACACACGCCUGAUCCGCCUACUUUGCACUUGAUGGCAACUCUAGCAAUGGCACUGCAAUAGCCUUCCUCUGUGCCCAAGUGCCCUCUCCUAUCUAAAGAGACUAACCAUAGAUAGAUGCAUGGAUAGAUAGACGAUUGUUCAUGGGUUGGAUGGAUGGAUGGAUACUUGCUACGACGAUUUCCGAAGACACUAUCUUCUCUUCCCUUGUAAUCUUCUUCUUCAAAUUUGUUUGCUGCUUGGCUAUGGAUGUGUGAUGCUGAUUUCACAGCAGCAGCAGUUAGAACUUGUUGUUGUACCAGAAGACGCCCUUGUUGUCCUCAGGCUCGACGUAGAUGCACUCCUUGGCCUCGCGCCAUGUCGCCUUGGCGACGGGCGUCGGGUCGAACUGGUAGUACUCGCCGAG